rnacentral:rRNA from 1 species
CUCUGUGUUACGGGAUGAAUUGGAUGUUGCCGAUAAAGCAACGUUUUUGACGUUACCGUAGUAGAAAGCCCCAGCUAACUACGUGCCAGCAGCUGCGGUAAUACGUAGGGGGCAAGCGUUGUCCGGAAUCACUGGGCGUAAAGCGCGCGUAGGCGGUGGAGUAAGUCAGACGUGAAAGGGUUCGGCUCAACCGAGCCAUUGCGUUUGAUACUACCUCACUUGAGUCUAGAAGAGGAAAGUGGAAUGUAUGGUGUAGCGGUGGAAUGCUUAGAUAUCAUAUAGAACACCCGUGGCGAAGGCGGCUUUCUGGUCUAAGACUGACGCUCAUGCGCGAAAGUUUGGGGAGCAACCGGGAUUAGAUACCCCGCUAGUCCUUACUGUAAACGAUGGGUACUAAGUGUAGGGGGAUUCAAUCCCUCUGUGCUGUAGCUAACGCAUUAAGUACCCCGCCUGGGGAGUACGGCCGCAAGGUUAAAACUCAAGGUAAUUGACGGGGGGCCGCACAAGCGGUGGAGCAUGUCGCUUAAUUCGAAGCAACGCGAAGAACCUUACCAGGGCUUGACAUCGCAGUGACCGCUAUAGAAAUAUAGUUUUCCUUC